GACGAACGCUGGCGGCGUGCCUAAUACAUGCAAGUCGAACGCAGUGGGGACGGGUGAGUAACAAGUGGGUAACCUCCCAUCAGAGGGGAUAACACUUGGAAACAGGUGCUAAACCGAUCCUGAUGGAUGGGCCCGCGGGGCAUGCGGUCGUUGGUGAGGUAACGGCUCACCAAGGCCACGAUGCAUAGCCGACCGGCGAGGGGGAUCGGCCACACUGGGACUGAGACACGGCCCAGACUCCUACGGGAGGCAGCAGUAGGGAAUCUUCGGCAAUGGACGAAAGUCUGACGGAGCAACGCCGCGUGAGUGAAGAAGGUUUUCGGAUCGUAAAACUCUGUUGUUGGAGAAGCGGUAUCUAACCAGAAAGCCACGGCUAACUACGUGCCAGCAGCCGCGGUAAUAC
rnacentral:rRNA from 1 species